CGUCCCUACGGGAGGCAGCAGUGGGGAAUAUUGCACAAUGGGGGGAACCCUGAUGCAGCGACGCCGCGUGAGUGAAGAAGUAUUUCGGUAUGUAAAGCUCUAUCAGCAGGGAAGAAAAUGACGGUACCUGACUAAGAAGCCCCGGCUAACUACGUGCCAGCAGCCGCGGUAAUACGUAGGGGGCAAGCGUUAUCCGGAUUUACUGGGUGUAAAGGGAGCGUAGACGGUAUGGCAAGUCUGAUGUGAAAACC
rnacentral:rRNA from 1 species